AUCAAAUGAAGAUAAAUCUAUGAAGAAUGUGGAAAUGUUGCUGAUUCAUUCAAACUUACAGUUAUGGAAAAUUCAAACCAUGGAAGUAUGUCAUAAUUGAAAUCAUCAGCACAAUGGACGGAAAAUAAAGAAGAAAUAAAAAUAUCUAUUAUUAAUGUUUCCUAUCAUCAGCACAAUGGACGGAAAAUAAAGAAGAAAUAAAAAUAUCUAUUAUUAAUGUUUCCUUGUCCAUUGAUGCUUAUUUGUAUCAUGUAUUUAAACUCAUGAUGAUUGUGUGAGAUGUGAAAUCUUCGGGUUGAAAUUAUAUGAAGUAUAUGUGAUUGUUUUAGACUUUGUAGGGAUGUUUUUGAAAUAAUUUAUUUAUUAAAGUUCAGUUUUUUUAUAGCAAAAUAGAAUUGGUUUUAUUGAGUAGAGAAUAGGUGUAUAUCUUUAUAAAUUUGUCGUCAUAUAUUCAGCAUAAACCUUCUAUUCACUAUAAAUCUUCUAUGUUAGGAAAGAAUAUAACUAUCA
rnacentral:lncRNA from 1 species